GGUGGCAUAGCUCAGUAGGUAGAGUGUCUGUUUUGCAUGCAAAUGGCUCCAGGUUGAAUCUCUGGCAUCCAUCU